rnacentral:lncRNA from 1 species
GUUGGGGUGAGUCGACGAUAAUCCAAUUGUUAUACCGUUACGUAAAUAUUAACUAUGCAAAGUGAUCCUGUGUCAUAUUUAAAAUUUUUCAGACCAGAGAAGAUAGUAAAUACAAGUCUAAUAAACAUGAUAAGACGGCAGGCAAAAUACCAGUCCAAUCCGAACUCUAGCACCAAUAUAUGACGCAAUAGCACAACGCGUGGGACGGAUUUCAUUAAGUUGGAAGCAUAGAUUUACAAUUGCAACAGUGUGAUACCUUGCUUAGUUCAUGCUUCUCUUCCUUUAAAGAUGAGUUCAACUUACGCCUGGAGCCGGACGCGCGGACGAUUAUACAAACAGCUCAUUGGGGUCAAGAAUCAUCAGAAGAGGUUGGGAAGAAGUUGAGCAGACGUACGCAACGCAUUCGACGAUGGAGUGUAGCCGGCUUCAGCGGUCUCGUCCCACUGGGGUUGCAAACUGGUUGAAUGCUUAACUACGGGAUAGCAGGCCCUACAUUUGUUGACUGAGCUCUUACUGGACCCAACACGAUCAACUUCACCAUUAGUGUUGCUUUAAGUCCUGUAGUAUAGGCAACAUCUAUCUAUUCUAUUCUAAUUAAAUUUCGAAAGAGGAACUUUUGUAUAAGCAAAUUGUUACUGAUUUAAUUUUAUUGAUUCAGUGUUGCUUAUAGUAGAUUAUUUUUCUCUUUAUUUUAUAUUGCUUGUGUCAUAAUGAUUUCGUUCCCAUUUGGAAAUUAUUGAGAGUCUUUAUCAGAGUUUCGUUAUUAAGAUUAUUUGGGCCUGCUCAUGGGUUUGGCAUGUAUGGUCCCAAUACCCAAGGCCUUUCGGAAAUAAUGUCAGAGCAAAGACAAAGCUUCGGUUGCAAUUAACGUAGAAUUUGCGUCUCAAAAAGAUUAGUUACUAUUAUUCUUUCUAAAUACGCCCGAUGUAAACGGCUUUUUUCAAAUAUAUCUAAUUACUAAAUUUUCAUUCGAGCGAUGCCAACCGUGUCGGAUCGACGGGAGUUUACCGGGAUAAGAAUACUGUAAGAAAAAUAAGCUUUGUUUUUAUUCAAUAAUGAAAAAAUAUAGUACAAUAUUUACCAUUUUGGGCAUCUUAGUAGAGAAACCCAAAUCGCUUCCAAAGCGUUUCAUCUUUACAUUAACCCUUUUGCCUGCCAUUUAGGCAAAGAUUCUUCGACUACGCAAUUACACGUUCUGUUUGCGUUUUGCCCCUCUAAUUAAUUUUCACACAAAUCACGAAGAUUUUUUAUGUUCUUUGAAAAUUUCAUAUCUGCCAUUAUUAUUGAGAUGCAGUACGUUAGCAGAUUUCCACAGGUGCACAAUUAUGUUUCAAUCGACAAUCUGUGCGUGUAUAGCCAUUUAUAUGCAACUAAUUGGGAUUCAUUAAGUUUCAUAAAUUUUUAAAUAGGGAACAAGUGGCAAAAUUUUUAGCGUUUUUUUUUCAACGAUCGCUCA